GAUUUUUUAUUAAACAAGAAGCUGACAUUUAAUCUUUGAAAAUAAAUGAUAUUAACAAGAAUCGAGUGAUGGAAUACACAAGCGCAGUUUAAACAUUUCUUAGAGGUCUUUAUUACCUCAAAGUAGCAUUUUCUUCCCCAGGGAUGAGUAAUUUAUCAUGAGUUGCCUUUUGCUGACACUUUCCCAAUAAACGCUAAAAGUUAGCUUGCUAAAUAAUCUAUGAAAUGGACCCAAAAAUGGAAACCUCAAAGUGUAUUACCGCCUUCAUGCACAACAAUUGACUCCCCAGAGCAAAAGCCAUCGCACGAAACUUUCCUGGGGGACGGCAACACAUCUGAUUACGUAUACGCCCUGUUGGCAGCUUUGGCAAAAGGCCAAAAACCGACUUUGAUGCGUUUUUAAGUUGGCUCUUUGAGUGCCAAUUUUUGUCUAUUUUUUUGUUGGCCAAACUUUUCCAUUACCACAUCAACACUACUACACUUUAAGCCAGCACAGAGGACAGGAGGUACACAUUUUGGGGUCAAGUCGACAUUAAAAUAGUUUAGGGAUUUGUAUUUAUGUUGAUUGCAUUGUCGGGCCAACUAACUGGCAUGUGCAUGGGAUUUGUGGGGGAAAUUGAAAAGUUGUGUGCUGCCAGAUUCCAGAUUCCAGCUUCCAUAGAUUUGCGCCAUGUCAGCGAGUGUAAAAUGCAAUUUCUUUCACUGCCACAAAAGGACAAUAACGGAAUGAAAAAGGCAGGCUGAAGUCGAAUUGACACCCCUUUAAAUGACAACAUUAUUUUAUUUAAUCACAAUUGUUUUUGAAACACCUUUUUGAUUAAAUUGAAUUUGCACAGGCAAACAUGUGAGAAAAACUAUUGCAUGCACUUUUGAAGUGUGCCAAAAAAACAAAGUCGAAGGUGUGAAAAACUGUAUGGAAAAGUUGAAAAGUGCGAAAGAGUCAAACAUUAAAUUGACCCCCAACCAAGAGCAAACAUUGCAGCAAACAAAAAUGCAUAAAGAGAACUCGAAUCGUGCAGCAUGCACCUGUUUCAACUUCAAUUCGCGGGGUUUCUAUUUUUAUCGUAUGGCCUGCAGCGCCUGGUCUUUAUUUCUGCUCUACGUUUUAGCUCUUUUGAUUCCCUUUAUGCCAUUUUGCUAUUUUUCAAUUUUUUUUUUUCCUGACCCACAUUGACAAUAUUCAUGUUUAUUAAUAUGCAUCAGACAACUCCGCCCAGCUGUUGUUGUUUGUUCAGCGGAAAUGAAGUUAUCCGACUUUGCCGGCAUUAAUUGCCCACUGCACGAGCGAGAACUACUCUAAUUAAAGAUGCAAAGCUGCAUAAGCAGGCAGUAAUUGUUCGCCAAGUGAACUAAUUGGCAUUCAAAGGAUAUCAGCAAGGCUUCUUUGAAUCUCUCAGUUUGGAAAGCAAAUUCAUUUUGUAAAUACAUUUGCAAUCUACUCUGGCUUUUAAAACGACUUAAAGAUUUUAGUAUGUAAAAUAAGUUUGUGAAAUAUAUUUUUAAUCAUUUCCCUUAAGGCAACCACCGAAAGCAAUUCUCAAUUUCAUAAUUCAUUAUCUGAUUGCUAUGCGUUGUGAAAAAUCUCUGCCUAAUUUCAAACACAUUUCACGUAGAUUUUCGAGAUGCUUUCGUGUAUCCCUGACUAAUUAGCCACUCGGAUCACGCGUCUGUCCAAUCCUUUUCGAAUCAGUUUCUUUUUCUGGAAGACCCAUUCAGUCAUCUAUCGCUCAGCAGUCCCAGCUCCUCCCCCUCAUCCCGUCGGCCAAUUUAUCUAUAUCGGAGCGGCAUUAUAAAUACAAUGACCACACUUCUUGACAUGCCAUGGUCAAAUUUUUGUGCAUUUGUCAAAGCGAAAAUAAAUCACAAAACGCCAAACAAACAAAACGCAACGCAGAUGACAAUUUCGUUUGGUUCUCGGUUUUUUUGUUUCUGUAUUUUUCUUCGGCAAUUGCGUUGCGUGUUUGGACGCUUUUGUUUAAAAGAAGUGUUCGUUUAUGCACUCGAAAGCAAUUGGGGAAUCUGACAUAGUUUUCGCUCAAGCAGAAAGCCGAAAGCCUGAGAUAUAGAUGCCAUAUAGACCCGAUUCCGUUGACAGCAUAAAAAGCGCUGCUAAAAAAGCGAAUUAUAUGCAAAAAGCAAAUUUCAUGCCACAUUUAAAAUAGCCACCGCAAUGUUUUGUAAUUUAUCAACGCCCUCCCGCACCAGAUAUCGCAUAUAUACUCGUACCACAUAAAAUACAGUGCACAUACGAGUAUAAUAUAUAGUACAUAUAUGCGGUGGCAGGCGUGUGACUGCUGCAACGAUGUUGCAAUGCAAUGGCCACGGCGAAUGCAAAAUGCAGACAUUUCUUGACACUUCUCUAAAUAGUUUUGCGUGCGACGCAGCAGCAGCCAGGGAAAACCAAGGAAAAUGCGAGGAAACUCGCAGGGAAAUGCGGCGUGGAUGGGGUAUAGGUAAAACGCACACGGUCACUCGAGUGCCAAAAUGUCCCCGCACGCCAUUAAAAACGUUGCGAAAAUUACACAGCAAACUGAAAGGUGUUCUAAUGAGGCGUGCGCCGGACUCUGUUCCGAAAUGUGUGUAUUUUCGUGGGUGUUUUCGCGCUAAAUGGGGCUGCCUUUGGGUUAUGGAUGGAGGUGCCAUUUGCAAGAGUGUUGCCCCACAAGAUAAUACUUAAAGUUUAGCCAAAGUUUAUGGGCUGGAAAUCAGAGUAAUGGGUAUGUCCUGCAAAUAACAUUUACAUUUUCUGGCUCUGAUAACUGUAAUGAACUGCAUUCACCUAACUGCAAAAGGAAAGUGCCUUAAGUUUCUCUUUUCACCUGAAUUACUUGCAGCAACCUUGCUGAGUUUUCAGUUUUCACAACCAUCUUUCGUUCUUAGCCUCGAUUUUAAUGCUGCAAUUUUCAUUGAAAUGAGUUCAAAAUCAAGGCCGCCGCCGCCAUCACGUCGGAAUUUUGGUCAUAAUGGUCAUGCUACAUCAUCCCGGUCUCGAUAAACUUGGGUCUUGAACUCGACCCUAGCGAUGCCAUGAAUACAAAUUGUUGCAUUUACAAUAAAAAAUUCAUGGGAUUCCAUUUCAAUAAGCGAAACGGCCGAAUAAAUGCAGUCGAGGCAAGGCGAAUCAGUUUAUUAAAUAAAAGGCAAUGUGUAACAUGAAGAACGACCUUUGCAAAGACAGAGACGAACGCUUCUCGCAUGAAAACUUCACUAAAUUACCAAGGAAAAUAUUCGCCAAUAAGUCAGAAGGGGAAUUCAACGAUACAAAGAUAAAGGGGCGAAGAGGAGCCAGUUCAGCACGAUUUGUCUCCCCCCAAACAGAGAAGCAAUCGAAUGAGAUGUCAGGAAUGCCCGGACAAAGGGGAUUCAAUGGGUGGCAAGGGGUAGCUGAAGAGGACGACUGUAAAUAGCCCCAGCGACACUCAUUUUAAAGUGUUUAGGAGCGCUCACACGCAGAAAACACAAAAUGACAACACCUUGUGCCCCAGUCAGCACUAAAAAUUACAUUGAAAUUGGUCAUAAAAACCAGGGAAAAUGAAAAGAAAAACCGGCUGGAAAGGGACAGCAGUCGUCGGUGCCUGUUUCGCUUUUCUUUUUCAUUAAAUUACAUAUUAUUCUGGCUUUGGUCGCACGGCAGCUAAUUUUGUCGAGCAGGCUGCCACUCGUUUAUCAUGUAAAUAAAAAAGCCAUAAACGAAAAAA